AUCCUACUGUCACGCUGGCCCCUGUGCCCGGAUCUGUCAGGAAAGACUGACUCUCCGCAGAGCUGAGCCAAGGGGACGGAUACCAACAUGGAUGAGACUCCUCACACCCAUUCCAUCUGCGCCUGGCCCAGGAUCACACAGCUUAACAAUCCUAUGAAGUAGAGGGGAGCCAUGUGACAGCUCUGCAUGGGCACAGAGCAACAGGCAGCCAGGCAGGAGAGGAGCCUGCAGGAAAACCCCAUCGGUUCAAAUCCACAGCCUACCUUCUUCCCACCCCAUAACACUCUCCAGUGACCUUGGGCACACCGUAAAACAGAUUAAGGUGCGGAUCUUCUAGAAGUGAAAAGGAAGCAAAUGCAACAACAGUGACUAGACUAACAACUGAAAACACCAGUGGCAAGAAAAACCUAUAUUAACAUCAGCAGUCAGUGAACAAGCACUGAGCACCCUCCACAGCUGAGGCACUGCAUGGGGUAUUAGAGAUACUUUAGUAGAAUCCAGUACUAGUUCCUGACUUUAAAAUACGCCUUGCAGUUUUCAAAGACUCCUUUGUGGAGGCCAGUAUCAGAUUAGUGUGUCUGAACCAAUAUUCUUCAGGUACUUUAUUUGACAUGAUUUCAAACUGUCUCCCCUGUACCCAGGUUCAUCAGUUGCCUUCACCGUCUCUUUUGCUUCCUCUGCCUGUGCAAGGCAAUCCACAGGAAUUAUUUUCAGAAUUGCUACAUACCUACUACUGAGAGAUGUACUCCUACCAAGCAGAGUAAAGAAAGAAGAGUACCAGGUAGCCCUAAGUGGAAAAUAAAUAUCCAUGAGUUUACACGAUAUAAAUGAUUGCAUAAAUGAACUGAGGAUAAGAGGCAAAUUUUCCAUGUAAAAAAAGUCCAAAUAAUUUAUGUAGUUACUUUGUCUUUGAUGAGUUGCAGCAUAAACCUCCAAUUCCUUAAGUGUGCACUACGUCUUGUGUCUUCCUUCCAAAAAUACAGAAUGAAGAGGAGGUUAAAAGAGUGUACAGUUAAGAAAUCUACAAAAUACUACCUUAGCUCAGUGAUCAAAGUCAACAGCAAUGGUAAUUUCUCCUGUCGAGGGUAAUGACUCUAAAUAAACCGCCCUAGUCUGCUUAAAUAAAUCACCCUAA